rnacentral:rRNA from 1 species
AUGCAAGUCGAGGGCAUCGGGAUUGAAGCUUGCUUCAAUUGCCGGCGACCGGCGCACGGGUGCGUAACGCGUAUGUAACCUACCUAUAACAGGGGCAUAACACUGAGAAAUUGGUACUAAUUCCCCAUAAUAUUCGGAGAGGCAUCUCUCCGGGUUGAAAACUCCGGUGGUUAUAGAUGGACAUGCGUUGUAUUAGCUAGUUGGUGAGGUAACGGCUCACCAAGGCAACGAUACAUAGGGGGACUGAGAGGUUAACCCCCCACACUGGUACUGAGACACGGACCAGACUCCUACGGGAGGCAGCAGUGAGGAAUAUUGGUCAAUGGACGCAAGUCUGAACCAGCCAUGCCGCGUGCAGGAAGACGGCUCUAUGAGUUGUAAACUGCUUUUGUACGAGGGUAAACUCACCUACGUGUAGGUGACUGAAAGUAUCGUACGAAUAAGGAUCGGCUAACUCCGUGCCAGCAGCCGCGGUAAUACGGAGGAUUCAAGCGUUAUCCGGAUUUAUUGGGUUUAAAGGGUGCGUAGGCGGUUUGAUAAGUUAGAGGUGAAAUCCCGGGGCUUAACUCCGGAACUGCCUCUAAUACUGUUAGACUAGAGAGUAGUUGCGGUAGGCGGAAUGUAUGGUGUAGCGGUGAAAUGCUUAGAGAUCAUACAGAACACCGAUU